UGACAACCCACUUGGAAUGUGUCACGACUGUCCCUGACUCGGCAGGACGUGACCCUCUUCUCAUCUUUCAAAGUUUCAGGGGCACCAUUUGGCAGUGGCUUCUCCAACCGCCCGCUACUCUCCAGCUAGGGAAGGGACCAGUGGGACUGAACAAACACUUGUGACGGGAGGGAGCCUGAGCUCCUAGGGACUGGCACAAGCCCAGGAUGGCCACCAGUGUGAGUGCCAGGAAAAGCUAACUGAGAUAAGGCCGGAGACUAGAUAAGGACAGUCUGUACAGAACGUGAGCCCUGGCGCACCGCUGCCCUUCCUCCUGACACGCAGAGCAAAGAAUCCUGUGCUUGGGUCUUGGUUUCAGAAAAGCUGCCUGCCUUCGUGCAACGUCACAGCUGUAGUUCGUCUCCAGGACAAGAGACUUAAGACUGGAUGAAUUUGGUGCCAGAGAGAGAAGACUGAAGCAUGAACAGCAUCGACAGUUAUUUCUCGCCCAUGUCAAUAAAGUCAGGAGCUCAACAGGGUGGACCAGACGUAGGAAAGCUUCCUUCACUGUGAACCAGCAUUCUAUGGCUCCCUCAUUCCAGGCUUUGUGUUUGAGCAGCCAAGAAAAUUAGAGCUCGGAAUGGUGGAAAUAUUCCAAUUCAGUGAUGGAGACAAAUCACUUUUCAGAUGUGGACCCUCAGUCUCGGAGAAGGAAGAUUGGACAAGGUCAUAUCCCAAGGUCACAGAUAGAGGAGCAUGGACUCACGAGUCCUGGUUACCAGCUGACCUCUUCUCCCCCUGCUACACAGCUAUCCAGGAAGGCAUCACCCCCACAGAGAUCACAUCUCGUCCUGGGAGCUAGAUCAUAACAGUCACACACAGACGUACAUGCUGCAGAGCUCUGCUUUGUGUCUGUGGUAAUAAAUGGCAUGUUUCCACACUAGAAGAAGGAAGACAUGCAGUCAGACCACAGAGUUGAGCUUUUGCCCCGUCUGGUCACUCCUGCUUGCUCUCGGG
rnacentral:lncRNA from 1 species